GACGAACGCUGGCGGCGUGCUUAAAAACAUGCAAGUCGAACGGACUUCUCAUGAAGCUUGCGAUUGAGAAGUUAGUGGCGGACGGGUGAGUAACGCGUGGGCAACCUGCCCCUGAGCCCGGGAUAACAGUUCGAAAGGACUGCUAAGACCGGAUAUACUUGCGGUGAAGCAUUUCACUGCAAGGAAAGGGAACGCUCAGGGAUGGGCCCGCGUCCCAUUAGCUAGUUGGUGAGGUAACGGCCCACCAAGGCGACGAUGGGUAGCCGGCCUGAGAGGGUGAACGGCCACACUGGGACUGAGACACGGUCCAGACUCCUACGGGAGGCAGCAGUGGGGAAUAUUGCACAAUGGGGGAAACCCUGAUGCAGCGACGCCGCGUGAGUGAAGAAGGUCUUCGGAUCGUAAAACUCUGUCCUUGGUGACGAAGGAAGUGACGGUAACCAAGGAGGAAGCCCCGGCUAACUACGUG
rnacentral:rRNA from 1 species